UGUUCUGUGGCUCAGUUUGUUAAAGCGCUUGUCUAGCAAGUACGAAGUCGGGGGUUCGAAUCCCACCAGAACGC
rnacentral:tRNA from 1 species